AAAGACCUUAUGCUUUUGGAGCGGCCGAUGUCUGAUUAGCUAGUUGGUGGGGUAAUUGCCUACCAAGGCGACGAUCAGUAGUUGGUCUGAGAGGACGACCAGCCACACUGGGACUGAGACACGGCCCAGACUCCUACGGGAGGCAGCAGUGGGGAAUUUUGGACAAUGGGCGCAAGCCUGAUCCAGCAAUGCCGCGUGAGUGAAGAAGGCCUUCGGGUUGUAAAGCUCUUUCAGUUGAGAAGAAAAGAUUGUAACUAAUAAUUACAGUUCAUGACGGUAUCAACAGAAGAAGCACCGGCUAACUACGUGCCAGCAGCCGCGGUAAUACGUAGGGUGCGAGCGUUAAUCGGAAUUACUGGGCGUAAAGGGUGCGCAGGCGGUUCUGUAAGUCAGAUGUGAA
rnacentral:rRNA from 1 species